rnacentral:rRNA from 1 species
GAUGAACGCUGGCGGCGUGCCUAAUACAUGCAAGUCGAGCGAACAGACGAGGAGCUUGCUCCUCUGACGUUAGCGGCGGACGGGGGAGUAACACGUGGAUAACCUACUUAUAAGACUGGGAUAACUUCGGGAAACCGGAGCUAAUACCGGAUAAUAUAUUGAACCGCAUGGUUCAAUAGUGAAAGACGGUUUUGCUGUCACUUAUAGAUGGAUCCGCGCCGCAUUAGCUAGUUGGUAAGGUAACGGCUUACCAAGGCAACGAUGCGUAGCCGACCUGAGAGGGUGAUCGGCCACACUGGAACUGAGACACGGUCCAGACUCCUACGGGAGGCAGCAGUAGGGAAUCUUCCGCAAUGGGCGAAAGCCUGACGGAGCAACGCCGCGUGAGUGAUGAAGGUCUUCGGAUCGUAAAACUCUGUUAUUAGGGAAGAACAAAUGUGUAAGUAACUAUGCACGUCUUGACGGUACCUAAUCAGAAAGCCACGGCUAACUACGUG